rnacentral:rRNA from 1 species
CUACGGGCCGCUGCAGUGGGGAAUAUUGCACAAUGGACGAAAGUCUGAUGCAGCAACGCCGCGUGGAGGAUGACACAUUUCGGUGCGUAAACUCCUUUUAUAUAAGAAGAUAAUGACGGUAUUAUAUGAAUAAGCACCGGCUAACUCCGUGCCAGCAGCCGCGGUAAUACGGAGGGUGCAAGCGUUACUCGGAAUCACUGGGCGUAAAGAGCGUGUAGGCGGAUAGAUAAGUUGGAAGUGAAAUCCUAUGGCUCAACCAUAGAACUGCUUCCAAAACUGUCUAUCUAGAAUAUGGGAGAGGUAGAUGGAAUUUCUGGUGUAGGGGUAAAAUCUGUAGAGAUCAGAAGGAAUACCGAUUGCGAAGGCGAUCUACUGGAACAUUAUUGACGCUGAGACGCGAAAGCGUGGGGAGCAAACAGGAUUAGAUACCCCAGUAGUC